rnacentral:rRNA from 1 species
GAUGAACGCUGGCGGCGUGCCUAAUACAUGCCAGUCGAGCGAACGGACGAGAAGCUUGCUUCUCUGAUGUUAGCGGCGGACGGGUGAGUAACACGUGGAUAACCUACCUAUAAGACUGGGAUAACUUCGGGAAACCGGAGCUAAUACCGGAUAAUAUUUUGAACCGCAUGGUUCAAAAGUGAAAGACGGUCUUGCUGUCACUUAUAGAUGGAUCCGCGCUGCAUUAGCUAGUUGGUAAGGUAACGGCUUACCAAGGCAACGAUGCAUAGCCGACCUGAGAGGGUGAUCGGCCACACUGGAACUGAGACACGGUCCAGACUCCUACGGGAGGCAGCAGUAGGGAAUCUUCCGCAAUGGGCGAAAGCCUGACGGAGCAACGCCGCGUGAGUGAUGGAGGUCUUCGGAUCGUAAAACUCUGUUAUUAGGGAAGAACAUAUGUGUAAGUAACUGUGCACAUCUUGACGGUACCUAAUCAGAAAGCCACGGCUAACUACGUG